GCGUCAUUAGCUCAAUUGGCAGAGCAUCUGACUCUUAAUCAGAGGGUUCGGGGUUCGAUUCCCUGAUGACGCACCA
rnacentral:tRNA from 6 species